GGAUUGUUCACCCACCAAUAGGGAACGUGAGCUGGGUUUAGACUGUUGUGAUACAGGUUAGUUUUACCCUACUAAUGGCAGUGUCACAAUAGUAAUUCAAUGUAGUACGAGAGGAACCGUUGAUUCGAAAAAUUGGUCAUCGCGCUUGGUUGAAAAGCUAGUGGUGCAAAGCUACCGUGCACUGGAUUAUGACUAAAUCCCUCUAAGUCAAAAUCCGGGCUAGAAGCGACGCAUGCGCCCGUCGUCCGCUUGCCAACCCGCAAUAGGGGCCGUCCGGCCCCCAAAGGCACGUGUCGUUGGUGUCAUCCGCCGUGUGGCCGCCUUGAUGUACAAUUCCUAGCUUGAACGGCAGUUACAAUCCUUUGCAGAUGACUUAAAUACACGACGGCGUAUUGUAAGUGGCAGGGUGGCCUUUCUUUGAUGAUCCACUGAGAUUCAGCCCUGCGUCGCUCCGAUUCCUCCCUCCC
rnacentral:rRNA from 1 species